rnacentral:rRNA from 1 species
AUAAAUAAGCGGAGGAAAAGAAACCAAACGGGAUUCCCUUAGUAACGGCGAGUGAAGAGGGAACAGCCCAGCGCCAAGUCCUGACACUUGACGUGUUCAGGAGAUGCGGCGUUAAAGUAUUGGCGCAUCGCACACUGUCUCGUGCUUCAAGUUCCUUUGACAGGGACUCCCARAGUGGGUGCUAGGCCCAUARAGGCUCUGAGACUGGUGUGCSCAGGCUAAUGCUUUUUARAGUCAGGUUGCUUGARAGUGCAGCCUAAAUCAGGUGGUAAACUCCAUCUAAGGCUAAAUAUUACAGCGAGACCGAUAGCAAACAAGUACUGUGAAGGAAAGUUGCAAARAACUUUGAARARARAGUUCAAAAGGACGUGAAACCACUUGCAGGCAAACGGGUGGAACCMCGAAGUAUGCCUUCGGGACGAUUCAACUAUUGCUGCCGGUUACUGGGCGUGUGUUUGUGGACCUUUUCGGAGGUUGGCACACGGUUUUGGUUGUUGAUUGGCUGGCAAUAGUGCAUUUUGUUUCCGAAGUGCUGAAGCCACGUCCGACGAGGUGGCUGGGACGGCCGUAGUGAUGGAUUCUUGGAAGGUGGCCGCCUUUUGCCUUUGGCAUUUGGUGGUGUUAUAGACUUGAAUCCGUUUUGACCGUCACCUAGCGUGCUCGUCGGUGCAAAUUCUCCUCCCCCCUGGAGUGUUGCUAGUAGUGGUCAUGUGUGUCUGUGGCGCAAGUCGGCGUCGUUUGGUUGUUUACUUUUCGUGCUUUCGGGUGCGCAAAGACAGCUAGGCGUGCGUUGGCUUGGGCGUCACUUGCAUGAUGUGACUGUACGCAAACGGUGGUGCGAGUAGGUCGGUCUCCACCCGACCCGUCUUGAAACACGGACCAAGGAGCCUAACAUGUACGCAAGUCGCUCGGUCUUGUUUAGGCCCGGGAGGCGUAAUGAAAGUAAAGCUACGAGUCUGAGUCUCGCGACUCAGUCGCAGUAGCGGCCCGCCUGUUUCCUUUUUUYGGGGAUAUGGCGGAGCUGGAGCGUACACGUUGGUACCCGAAAGAUGGUGAACUAUGCCUGGGCAAGACGAAGCCAGAGGAAACUCUGGUGGAGGUCUGUAGCGAUUCUGACGUGCAAAUCGAUCGUCAGACCUGGGUAUAGGGGCGAAAGACUAAUCGAACCAUCUAGUAGCUGGUUCCCUCCGAAGUUUCCCUCAGGAUAGCAGGCGUUUGUUGAAUCAGUCUCAUCCGGUAAAGCUAAUGAUUAGAGGUCUUGGGGCCGAAACGGCCUCAACCUAUUCUCAAACUUUAAAUGGGUGAGAUGCUUGACUUGCUUAAUUUGAAGCCAAGCAGUUGGAUGUAUAAGUGCCUAGUGGGCCAGCUUUGGUAAGCAGAACUGGCGCUGUGGGAUGAACCAAACGUCGAGUUAAGGCAUCAAAUGCAUACGCUCAUCAGACCCCAUAAAAGGUGUUGGUUGCUAUAGACAGCAGGACGGUGGCCAUGGAAGUCGGAAUCCGCUAAGGAGUGUGUAACAACUCACCUGCCGAAGCAACUAGCCCUGAAAAUGGACGAUGCUGUAGCGUGGAGCCGAUACUCGACCGUAGUGACGAUACUUGCAGAAUGCGAUGUCGCUACGAGUAGGAGGGCCGCAGUGAUAGCGUUGAAGGUGUCGGGCGUGAGCCCGCCUGGAGCUGUCACUGAUGCAGAUCUUGGUGGUAGUAGCAAAUACUCAAGUGAGAAUCUUGAGGACUAAGGUGGAGAAGGGUUCCAUGUGAACAGCAGUUGAACACGGGUCAGUCGGUCCUAAGGAAGCAGAGAAAUCUGUUACAACGGCCACAAUUAUUAAUUUAUUUGAUACUGUGGGCGAUUUUCCGAAAGGGCAUCGGGUUAAUAUUCCCGAACUCAGACACAGAGGAUGUGCUUUCGGGCACGGAUGCGGUAACGCGGUCAAACUCGGAGACGUCGGCGGCAGUCCUGGGAAGAGUUGUCUUUUCUCUAUAAGGUGUCCACUCCAUGAAAACAGCUUGCCUGGAGAUAUGGAUGUUGACACCGAAGAGCUCCGCGGUUCUUGCGGAGUCCGGUGCGCUGUUGUCGGCCCUUGAAAAUCCGAGGGCGAAUUGAUACCUUUGUGCUGAGCCGUACCCAUAUCCGCAGCAGGUCUCCAAGGUUAACAGCCUCUAGUUUCUAGAAUAAUGUAGGUAAGGGAAGUCGGCAAAACUGAUCCGUAACUUCGGGAUAAGGAUUGGCUCUGAAGGAUGGGCCAGUCGGGCUGUGGCCAGAAGCAAGUGAUGCACUGAUUGGGACUGGACUAAUGGGCGCGCCUCUUUCGGGGGGCCGCCUGUUUGUUUGGACCCGUGUCGGUGUCUGCUUGUGGAAAGUCAUAGCUACGCCUCGGUGCCCCGUGUAUCCGAGUGUCGUUUCGGCUGGCAAUUAACAUCUGACUCAGAACUGGCACGGACCCCGGGAAUCCGACUGUCUAAUUAAAACAAAGCAUUGCGAUGGCCGGAGAUCGGUG